UACUUUGAGUUAUAAAAGUUGUUUUUAAGCGAGUAAAAGUUAUAAAGUUAAAAAAAUAAUUUAUAUGGUGUUAUGGUGAGUAAGUUUUAGUGAAAUUUUGGUUAAACUAUAGUGAAAAAGUACUGUGAGGGAAAUUUGUGGUAAAUUUAAUAGUAAAAGUAAAAUUUUGUACCUUGUGUCUCAGGGAAUAUUAAUAUAAAUUAACUUAGUUAAAAAUCUCGAAGUAAAUACAGUUAAUUCUAUAAAGAUAUUGUUGUAGAAAAUUUAUUUUAAAUAUAGGAUUAAAGGUGAAACAUUAGUCGAGAUUUAUUAUAUCUAGUUCUUUAAGAUGAAAAUUGAAUUUUUUUUUUUUACAUAUUUGUAAAAAAAAUUAAUGUAGGAGGGAUUAGCUUCUUAUAAUGAGUAGAAAAUAGGCAAUAAAGAUUUAUUUUUAUAAAUUAAGCUUAAAAUUAGCUAUAUUUGUAAUAUGUUAUAAUUAAUUAAUUAAAGUUAUAUUAUUUAUGGUUGUCUUUGUUUUAAUAUUAAAGAAUUUUUGAAAAUAAAAUAUUUAAAGUUAUAAUAAUGUUAUUAGUAAAAUUUAAUGUAAAAAAAAGAAAAGUAAAAUAGAAAUUAAAUAAUAAAUAGUUUGUGGUAAUUUAAAGGAAUUCAGCAAAAGAAUUUUUUGCCUGUUUAUCAAAAACAUGUCUUUUUGUAAGUAUAAAAAGUCCGGUCUGCCCACUGAUAUAAUAUAUUAAAGGGCCGCAGUAUUUUAACUGUGCAAAGGUAGCAUAAUCACUAGUUCUUUAAUUGAGAUCUUGAAUGAAUGAUUAGACAAAAAAAUUACUGUCUUUAUGAUAAUAAUUGAAUUUAACUUUUAAGUGAAAAGGCUUAAAUAGUUUGAAGUGACGAUAAGACCCUAUAAAGCUUAAUAUUAUUAUAAAAUUUUUGGUGAGUUAAAUAUAAAGUUUUAAGGUUUAUUGAUAUUUUAUUGGGGCGAUAGAAGUAAAAAGUUUAAUAACUGCUUUUUUUUUAAUCAGGUAUAAGUGGUUAGUAUAUAAAUGAUCUUGUUUUAUAGAGUAAAAGAUUAAGUUACUUUAGGGAUAACAGCGUUAUUUUUUUUGAGAGUUCUUAUCGAAAGAAAAGAUUGCGACCUCGAUGUUGAAUUAAAAUAUCUAUAUAAUUGUAGCGGUUAUAUGAGAAGGUCUGUUCGACCUUUAAAUUUUUACGUGAUUUGAGUUCAGACCGGUUUAAACCAGGUCGGUUUCUAUCUUUUAAUUAAAUUGUAAUUAUUUUAGUACGAAAGGACCAAAUAAUUUAAAUAAUUUUUAUUGU
rnacentral:rRNA from 1 species